rnacentral:rRNA from 1 species
CGGCUUCCUACGGGAGGCAGCAGUGAGGAAUAUUGGGCAAUGGACGAAAGUCUGACCCAGCAACGCCGCAUGGAGGAUGAAGGUCUUCGGGUUGUAAACUCCUUUUCUCAGGAAAAAUAAUGAUGGUACCUGAGGAAUAAGCCACGGCUAACUCUGUGCCAGCAGCCGCGGUAAGACAGAGGUGGCGAGCGUUGCUCGGAAUUACUGGGCUUAAAGGGCGAGUAGGCGGUGGGGCAAGUCUGAGGUGGAAUCCUACGGCCUAACCAUAGAACUGCCUUAGAAACUGUUUUACUUGAGUCAGUGAGGGGAGGGCGGAAUUCCUGGUGUAGCGGUGAAGUGCGUAGAUAUCAGGAGGAAGGCCUGUGGCGAAGGCGGCCCUCUGGCACUGUACUGACGCUGAGGCGCGAAAGCGUGGGGAGCAAACAGGAUUAGAUACCCGGGUAGUCCAAGC